UCCGUAGGCGGAUUAAUAAGUCAGAGGUGAAAUCCCACAGCUUAACUGUGGAACUGCCUUUGAUACUGUUAGUCUUGAGUUAUGUGGAAGUAGAUAGAAUGUGUAGUGUAGCGGUGAAAUGCUUAGAGAUUACACAGAAUACCGAUUGCGAAGGCAGUCUACUACGUAUAUACUGACGCUAAUGGACGAAAGCGUGGGGAGCGAACA
rnacentral:rRNA from 1 species